AACGAACGCUGGCGGCAUGCCUAACACAUGCAAGUCGAACGAGACCUUCGGGUCUUUUGGCGCACGGGUGCGUAACGCGUGGGAACCUGCCCUUAGGUUCGGAAUAACUCCCCGAAAGGGGUGCUAAUACCGGAUAAUGUCUUCGGACCAAAGAUUUAUCGCCUUUGGAUGGGCCCGCGUUGGAUUAGCUAGUUGGUAGGGUAAAAGCCUACCAAGGCGACGAUCCAUAGCUGGUCUGUGAGGAUGAUCAGCGACACUGGGACUGAGACACGGCCCAGACUCCUACGGGAGGCAGCAGUGGGGGAUAUUGGACAAUGGGCGAAAGCCUGAUCCAGCAAUGCUGCGUGAGUGAUGAGGGCCUUAGGGUUGUAAAGCUCUUUUACCCGGGAUGAUAAUGACAGUACCGGGAGAAUAAGCUCCGGCUAACUCCGUG
rnacentral:rRNA from 1 species